GUGGCUGUAGCUCAGUUGGUUAGAGCGUCUGGUUGUGGCCCAGAAGGUCGCCGGUUCAAGUCCGGUCAGUCACCCCA
rnacentral:tRNA from 1 species